UAUUUAAUUUGAAACUUUUCAACGAAGGAAUUGCGGAUACUAAUUAAGUAUUCUAAUCAUUCCUUUGAGUUUUUUUUUUUUUUUUUUUUUUUUUGAAGAAAAGAUAGUAUACUAUCUGCUUCAUUCAUUAAAAAUAUCAAUUAAGCAAUAUGGAUGAGGUAAAAAAAUCUCCGCAGAAGUAAGAAGCAAGAAGCAAGAAGCAAGGAAGAAAAAAAAAACUAAGAAUGUUUGCUUUUAGAGAAUAGAAUAAUCUUUCACUGAAUUGCGAACGUCUUGAUCUUAACUACCAUCGUCAGAGAGUAUGCAUAAACAUUUCUAAAUAUAGCACUAUUCCUUGAAUCUCAUAUGACCCACCAGUAGGCUAUCAGACUGGUUAAUCUAUAGUUACGUAUACUAUUCCUUUGAGUUACAACUAAUCUACAUUUAAGUACGAUUCAAACACAUCUACUCAAAACAUUUCCCAUCUUAUAAUAUAUAUGUAGAUCAUAGGAAUGCUACUCACCAGUGCGGUGGCGGCGACGGGAGCGCUGUCGGAGCUGGGGAAGAACGGAAAUCAGCAUGCGGGAUGGCUGCCGAUCUGUGGGCAAAUACACGAAUUCUGCAACCAUGUUAUGGGAGCUCUCAUUUGUGCCUUCGUCGGUCUCCUCAUCUACCUCCUCAUCCUUUUCCAUACUUUCUACGUUGUGAUCAACCCUCUUUUCCCAUGAGUUUUCUUUCUUUCCCCCUUUUCUUUUUUUUCUUUGAACACGCGGUCUUUUUACCAUAUACUAUGAAAGAUCACGUACGUGUCUCAACGUCCUGUUAGGAACGGCAAGUUCCAAAUAUAUAUACUUAUGUGGUUGCAUGUUUUUACCAAAUACGUGAUAAAGUACAUGCAAACUUAUAAAAGUUUCAGUUUAAACUUAUAUUGCGGAAUUUAAUUUUCAGUUUAUUUUAAUAAUUGUGAUGCCUACUUUUAAAUUUGCAAUUUUUUAUAAAGUAGGAAAUAAUGUAAAGAGUACUGAUUCGAUCAAAAUCUGAAAGAUAUAUGACAAGGCAAUGACCGAUAUAACUAGGGAUGCAAAGGGGAAGGAUCCGGAAGGGGGAGAUGUCUCCCAUCAUUUGCUUCAUUUUUUCUUUGUCAGAUCGGAACGGCUUCGUGACGGAUUAAUUUUGACCGUAUUUUUUAUCUCCACUUAUUGCUCCAUUCGGAGCAGAUCAGGGCUGGAACAUAUUUUUAUUUUUAAUAGAUUGGGACGGAUCUGGGUGGAUCUGGGGCCUCCCUCUCCAUUACACGACGAAUCUGUGUGAAUUUGGGACAAUUAUAUUUUUCUAUAUGUUUUUUUUCCACUUACGGCUCCAUUCAGGAUGAAUCAGGGCGGAAGCUCCGCCAACCCAGAUCCAUUUGCACCCUUACUGGUAAGCUAAUUUAAAUAUGGUGACCUAAGUGAAAUUUCAUCAUUGACAAAAGUGUAAUUUACCCAAAUUUGUUUUGUGGUGAGUGUAAUUGCUUCUCGUAAUCUUCUCUCAUAUGGUCACACAUGUAUCUACUAUAGAGCAUAGAAGGACAAAGAGCCAGUAGCUAUAUGCAAUUAAUGUGAUGUACAUUCCCUUGUUAGUGGGUAUUUGGUUUCCCCGAAAAGUGUGGAAAAUUAUUUUCCACCAAUAACUAUUUUUCAAAAAAAAUAUUUUUUUUUUGUAGAAUCUAGGAAAACAGAUUUGAAAAAAUUAUACUUUUACUGGAAACAAACAGUACGCAAAAUACCAGAAAUAAUUUUCUAUGAAACCAAACAUCUUAAUGAUUAUCAUUAGAUCACAACAUUAUGGUCAUUCAUAUAACUCAAUGUUUGGUAAACUAUAAUACCUACUUAGGUCGUAGAUACCAUGAUUAUUACUGACAGCGAUUUUCGUUUUAUUGGCUACAGAUUUAGGUUUGGUAAGCUAACUUUGUCUGAUGGCACCUAUCCUCUAGCAUAUUAAUUGCCUAAUUAACUCCGACAUUAUAUUUGUUAGGCCAAAUAAUUAAAUUGUUGAAAAAAAAAAAAGUUUGAACUUAAUUAUUCACACCGAAAGCAAAACUAUAAUGAAAGGGAACGUAAGCAACUCGAUUUGGGUUCUUCGUUAGGACUUGACCUCCUAAAAGAGAUGCAUUCAGUCACAUAAAAACUUCGAAUCUUUGAAUAUGGAUCGAUUCGGUUGGAUUGUUGUACCCCGAAAGACUACAAUUUCAGCUAAUAAUCUGAAUUAUGGUCGAAACCUACGAAAAAGCUUUCCGAAAAAAAAAAAAUAUAUAAAUCUAGCUAACUACUUAAUUUGUUCUAGAAUUAAAAUUAUCGAAAAUUAUUAAAGCUACCUGUCCCUCCACCCUUCUCUUCGGGGAGUAUUUAUAAUCCUUGAAAUCCAAAUCCUAUAAAAUCUCGGCCGAAUUUCGAAAUCUUCUCUUACACUUAUUUCUUUUGUUAUAAUGAAUUACCGAGAUUGUUUGAUACAACGGCUUUAAUUUUUCCCUUCUGAUUUAAAUUUAUCUUCCAUUUUUAGGUAUAAGCAGUCCAUUUGGCCUAGAUUCUGAAAAAAUGAUUUCUAUAGGAUUGAUUUUGAUUUGAAAAUUUGAUUUUGGUUAAAAGUUGUAUAGUGUUUGACUAAGUUGAGAUAAAAGUAACUUUUUUGAAGUAAUUUUAUAAAACUAUUUGGAAAAAAAAAAAUUUAUAGUCAUGCACUUAUUAUACCCUAUAACUUUAAAAAUUAAUACAAAUAGGCCAAAAUGUUAGUAUUUUGAUUUAAAACAAGUGAUUUAAAACUUCUUUAUAUGCUCAUAUGUUUUAAAACUUCAAUUUGGCCUUUGGACUUUGUGGGCAGCCUACUGUCAAUGGGCCUUGCCUGGGAGCCCAAGCUUUGGUCUCUUUUCAUGUGGUGUUUAGUCCCACAUUGGAAAGAGACCCUCACUUGCUCUGGUUUAUAUUCUACUUUAUUCUCAUUGUUAUUACUUGGGAAGUGAUGAGAGUGGAGCUCUCGUCUAAAUACACGCACACGAGCACGAGCCGAGCCGGGCCGGGCGGCGGCGCGCGUGAACCCGGUUCACUUUAUUUUUGUUACACUUUUCAUUUUAUUAUUUUAUUUUUGACCUUACCUGGAUUAGGUCCAGAUUUGGUCCAGUCGAAGGGUCGCACCUCGGGACUCAACCAGCCCCAACGGUCUACCUCGGGAAGGUGGUCUUCCCGUUGGAACCCUUCUUUUGCUCUCCUAUUUACUAGGGUGAGUGGCUGGGUUAGGACAGUAGUGACAUACAGAAACCCUAGCCUGAGCUUCUCCCCCUUUCUCUCUUCUCCUUCUUCUUCACUGUUUUGCUGGAUCUCUGAAAAGCUGUGACGGUUCGUUCUUGCACCACCCUGAAGCCGUGCCGACGGGGUGGACGAAGGUCGUUGUAUCGCUAGGAGUGAUUGCCGGCGCCUCGUACGUGGAGGGGCAAUCUUGCUUCUAGGACAGUGCAAUCGCACGCCUCGACUCACAGGCUCCAUCUAAUCCUUUAUUCUCUAUAGUUUUUAUUUAUUUCGUUCUUAAUCAACGUUUCUAAAAACAGUGGAUAAGUUGUUUUCAAACAAAACUGUUUAUACAAAUAUUUGACUAAAGAUUUCAAAAGAGAACUAAUUUUUCCAACAUUCUAGAAGCAAGAUUUUAUUUUCUCUUUCUGUCUUCUUUAGUUUACUGCGUAGAAUACUAUUUUGGCUGUAGGAUAAUAUAUAUGUGCAUGAAACUGAUAUUGCUAUAAUUCGGAAUAUAUAAACCUAAAUAUAUGCAUGCUGUUUUUUUUUAGGUUUACUUGAAAUACUGCUGAUAAUUAAGAUUGUAAUACUGCUAAUAUAAAUAAAUAUAUAUAUAUAUAUUUAUCUGCAUGAUCAUACUGUUACUAAACAUUGUUUAGAAAAAUUUACUGUUAUAUCUGUAAAACUUGGAACAGUCUUGUGAUAUUAUUUUAGGAUUACUUGAAAACAGAUUUGUCAUUAUGGAGGACUCGUAUUCGGCGAAGCCGUUCACUUUCGAUGGUCGUAAUUUUAAGAGGUGGCAGAACCAAAUGAGGUUCUGGCUCACCACACUUGGGCUUGUGUCUGCUAUCUCGGAUCCUGUCGAGAAUAGCAAUGCACCUUCAGGUGCAAUCCAGCCUACGGGCAACCGACCGUUUACUAGGAGCCAAGCCCAAGCCGGAUCCGCUCUUCCCCCCUCUGAAAAUGCAACUGCACCUCCACCUAUAACUGUACCCCUUGUAGAUCCUAACGUGAUAAACUAUCAUUGCCUGAACCGGAUUCUUAGUACCCUAUCUGAUAAACUGUAUGACAUAUUCUGUAGUGCCCAAUCAGCUAGGGAACUUUGGACAUCCUUAGAAAAUAAGUAUGGUCAGGUUGAUCCUACUCAGAAGAGAUACCAAGCUUCAGAUUUGAUUAAAUUCAAAUUAGUGGAUAGUAAACCUAUGUCUGACCAGCUCCAUGAUUUUGAGUAUAUUGUUGAGCAGCUUAGAUCUAGUGGUAUAAAUCUUGAUGAGAGUUUUUUAGUAGCCACUCUUAUAGAUAAGUUGCCACCCUCCUGGUCUAACCAUGCAAAUGAUCUUAACCAUAACCAAAGAGAGCUUUCCCUGAAUUAUGUCCUAAGAUCCAUUAGGAUAGAAGAGUCGAACCGAGCCAAGGAUAAGAAACCUACUGAACCCACUACCCAAGCCAACCUAGUAGAGAAUCCUAAAAAUAAGGGUAGAAACUUUCAGCCUCAUAGGAACUUUAAGAAGAAGCCUUUCCAUCAUAGAAAGUUCAACCCAAACUUUAAGAAGCCUAAACCUGAUGGGAGUGGGAGCAACUCUGGUUGCUUUGUGUGCGGGAAGACCAACCACUUUGCGAAGGAUUGCUAUUUUCGCAAGACUCGGCCUUCUGCACCCAAGAAGAAGAAGAACGGUCCACCUGAGCGCCAGAUGAAUAUGUUGACUGCUGGACCUGACUCUUCUGUCCCUGCUAUCAGGUUAGGAUCUAGUUUAGCUGAAGUUAACCUUACCUUUAGUUCUUCUGAUUGGUGGAUAGAUACCGGAGCAAAUAUUCAUGCAUGUUCUGAUCGCUCUUGGUUUGCCACUUAUCAGGACUCAUGUGGAGGAUCGGUGAACAUGGGGAAUGCAGCCUCUUCUCGCGUGCUUGGGACCGGUCGAGUGGAUUUGAGACUGACUUCUGGGAAGACCCUAACCUUGCACGGAGUCCACCAUGUUCCCGAUAUUAGGAAGAAUUUGAUUAGUGGUUCUCUUUUAGUUCAGCAGGGUUUUAAGUUAGUUUUUGAAUGUAAUAGGGUAGUUAUUACUAAGGGUGUGGAUUUUGUAGGAAAGGGAUUUUUGAGUGAUGGUUUGUUUAAGUUAUCUGUAUCUCCUCCCCCUAUUAAUGAAAGUGCACUUGUUUUGAAUGUUGUUUCAACUGAUGUUUGGCAUGGAAGAUUGGGACAUGUGAAUUAUAAUACUGUUAAGAGAUUAAUGCAUCUAGAUUUGAUUCCUAAAUCUGAUUUGUCUAAUCGUAAAUGUGAAAUUUGUGUGCAGGCUAAGGAGCCUAGAAAACCUUUUAAAUCAGUAGAUAGAGAUUGUGAUAUGUUAGAACUUGUGCAUAGUGAUGUUUGUGAUGGAACUAGACCUACUAGAGGUGGAAAUAAAUAUUUUGUGACUUUCAUAGAUGAUCAUUCGAAGUAUUGUUAUGUUUAUUUGAUCAAGACAAAAGAUGAGGUUUUGAGCAGAUUUAAAAUUUAUAAAGCUGAAGUUGAAAAUCAAUUAGAUAAGAAAAUCAAGAUUUUGAGAUCUGAUCGAGGAGGUGAAUAUACUUCAAAUGAGAUGACUAUUUUCUGUCAAGAAUUUGGAAUUGUACAUCAAGUGACUGCACCUUAUACACCUCAAUCUAAUGGAGUUGCUGAACGCAAAAAUAGAACUUUGAUGGAUAUGGUAAAUUCGAUGAUUAUUAGUUCAGGUGCACCCGAGAACUUGUGGGGGGAAGCUUUGAUUUCUGCAUGUGUGAUUUUAAAUAGGAUUCCCCACAAGAAUUCUAAUAUUUCUCCUUAUGAGCUUUGGAAAGGUAGGAAGCCUAAUUUGAAUUAUUUUAAAGUGUGGGGGUGCCUAGCUAAAGUUAAGAUACCUGAGAACAAGAAAAGGAAGAUUGGUCCUAAGACUGUAGAUACAGUUUUUAUAGGCUAUGCUUUAGAUAGUAACACCAACAGAUUUCUAGUGGUGAAUUCUGAGAUUAGUGAGAUUUCUAAUAAUACCAUUAUUGAAGCUAGAGAUGCAGUGUAUUUUGAGGAUAUCUUUCCUUUUAGGACUAGAGUAGAUAGACCUACUCCAGUUGAGCAUGUAGGUAGCUCUAGUGGUCCUAGAGUUAGUGAGCCUACAGUAGAGGUUGAACCUAGGAGAAGUAAGCGUCCUAGAGUAGAGAAAACUUUUGGAGAUGAUUUUUGUGUCCUACUAGUUGAAGAUACUCCUUCUACCUUUGACCAAGCUAUGAAGUCUGUAGAUGCAUCUUUUUGGAAAGAGGCUAUUAAUCUUGAGAUGCAAUCUAUUCUACAGAAUCAUACUUGGGAAUUAACAGAUUUACCUAUAGGAUGUAAGCCUGUAGGCUGUAGAUGGAUCUUUAAGAAGAAGUUGAGACCUGAUGGUUCUGUAGAAAAGUAUAAGGCUAGACUAGUGGCUCAAGGUUUUGCACAGAAGCCAGGUGUAGAUUAUUUUGAUGUGUAUGCACCUGUUGCUAGAAUUACCUCUAUCAGGAUAUUGUUGGCCUUAGCUUCUGUCCACAGUUUGAUUGUGCAUCAGAUGGAUGUUAAGACAGCUUUUCUGAAUGGUGAUUUAGAUGAGGAGAUCUAUAUGAAGCAACCUGAAGGAUUUGUAGUUUCUGGACAUGAAAAUAAAGUGUGCAAAUUGACGAGAUCUUUAUAUGGACUUAAACAAGCUCCUAAGCAGUGGCACUUGAAAUUUGAUUCUUUAGUUGUAUCAAAUGGAUUUCAUGUAAACAUGUCUGAUGAAUGUGUAUAUUCAAAGGAAUAUGAUGGACAGAUUGUGAUCCUGUGUUUAUAUGUUGAUGAUAUUUUGAUUUUUGGUACCAAUAUAAAUGUGAUACAUGAUGUGAAGAAAUUACUGAAUGAGAAUUUUGAUAUGAAAGAUCUUGGGCAAGCAGAUGUAAUUCUCAAUAUGAAGAUCAUUAGAGAAUCAAAAGAAAUUGUUAUGAGCCAAUCACACUAUAGUGAACAGUUAUUGAAGAAGUUUGGAUAUUUUGAUGUUAAACCUGUAGUGACACCUUAUGAUUCUAGUGUACAUCUUAAGAAGAAUAGAGGUGAUCCAAUUGGUCAGAAUAGAUAUGCACAGAUUAUAGGAUCUUUGGGAUAUCUAGUAGACUAUACUAGACCUGAUUUGGCUUAUGCUGUAAACAGAUUGAGAAGAUAUACCCAUAAUCCGAAUAGAGAUCAUUGGAAUGCUUUAGAAAGAGUUUUGAGGUAUCUAAAGGGAACUAUAUCUUAUGGAUUACAUUACAGUGGCUUUCCUGCAGUACUAGAAGGAUAUAGUGAUGCAAAUUGGAUUAGUGAUACAGCUGAUGUAAAGUCUACUACUGGAUUUGUUUUUCUCCUAGGAGGAGCAGCUGUUUCUUGGAAGUCAACCAAACAAUCUUUGAUUGCUAGAAGUACUAUGGAAUCUGAACUUAUAGCAUUAGAUACCACUGUAAAAGAGGCUAAGUGGAUAAGAGAAUUUCUUUAUGAUUUGCCACUGAUGGAGCGACCUUUAGCACCAGUGUGUAUUCAUUGUGAUUGUAGAUCUGCAAUUGAUAAAUGUGCCCAAGAGAAUGUGGAGACUAAGAUGAAUAGAUUUAUGAAAGUGAGACAUAAGUUCAUUCGACAGAAUAUGAAGGAGAAUGUAAUUGCUUUGGAAUUUGUGAGAUCUGCAAAGAAUCUGGCUGAUCAGCUCACCAAGGGAUUGUCUAGGACUGUGAUCCUAGAAUCGUCGAGGGGGAUGGGGCUUAGCCCACAAUGAAAGUUACCGGCGACGGCAACCCAACCUGUUGCAGGUUCAAUGGGUAGAAACAAGUCGAACAGGUAGCUGUGAGGAGCACUGUUUUUGUAUCCUCAUCCCUAUGGCGACAGUGCUCAUUUCUGCAAGUGGAUAGGAAGGGCUUUAGCCCUGAAUGGUUCCGAGACCCAUGAGGCAGGGUGUGACCUUACAGACACCCUUCUGAGGACCUACUAUGUGUGUGGAGUUGUGAGGCCGCAACUAUGGGAAGAGGGCGGUUCCCUAAAACACACAUGAAACGAUACUAGCGCAUGGCCGUAAUAGCGCUCACCCGCUUAGAACCUAAAUAGCUGUACCAUGUGUGCGGUUUGUGGAAAUCCGAUUCACCGGCCUUGGUUCAAGGCGAAGUCCACCAUUGUGUCCUCGGAUGUACAUAGACAAGCACUAAGUGAAGGUUCAAACCCGAAAGGUACCUUCGCCGAAUACGUGGUAUAAGAGAUCCAGCAUCCUUUUGAGUUAUUUUUUUUUUUUGAAUUUCAGUUUUCAUUUUUGAAGUUUUAAAUCAUGUGGGGGACUGUUAGUAUUUUGAUUUAAAACAAGUGAUUUAAAACUUCUUUAUAUGCUCAUAUGUUUUAAAACUUCAAUUUGGCCUUUGGACUUUGUGGGCAGCCCACUGUCAAUGGGCCUUGCCUGGGAGCCCAAGCUUUGGUCUCUUUUCAUGUGGUGUUUAGUCCCACAUUGGAAAGAGACCCUCACUUGCUCUGGUUUAUAUUCUACUUUAUUCUCAUUGUUAUUACUUGGGAAGUGAUGAGAGUGGAGCUCUCGUCUAAAUACACGCACGCGCGCACGGCACGAGCACGAGCCGAGCCGGGCCGGGCGGCGGCGCGCGUGAACCCGGUUCAUUUUAUUUUUGUUACACUUUUCUUUUAUUAUUUUAUUUUUGGCCUUACCUGGAUUAGGUCCAGAUUUGGUCCAGUCGAAGGGUCGCACCUCGGGACUCAACCAGCCCCAACGGUCUACCUCGGGAAGGUGGUCUUCCCGUUGGAACCCUUCUUUUGCUCUCCUAUUUACUAGGGUGAGUGGCUGGGUUAGGACAGUAGUGACAUACAGUAACCCCAACCUGAGCAUCUCCCCUUUUCUCUCUCCUCCUUCUUCGUCACUGUUUUGCUGGAUCUCUGAAAAGCUGUGACGGUUCGUUCUUGCACCACCCUGAAGCCGUGCCGACGGGGUGGACGAAGGUCGUUGUAUCGCUAGGAGUGAUUGCCGGCGCCUCGUACGUGGAGGGGCAAUCUUGCUUCUAGGACAGUGCAAUCGCACGCCUCGACUCACAGGCUCCAUCUAAUCCUUUAUUCUCUAUAGUUUUUAUUUAUUUCGUUCUUAAUCAACGUUUCUAAAAACAGUGGCUAAGUUGUUUUCAAACAAAAUUGUUUAUACAAAUAUUUGACUAAAGAUUUCGAAAGAGAACUAAUUUAAUUUUUUCCAACACAAAAGAAUAAAAAGGAAAUUCAUACAUAAUGAGUAGUCUCAAAUAGAAUAAUAAAUGCAAAAAUAAAUGAAUAAUGGAAAAUUUUAUAUGCACGCCUAUAUAUAUAGACGUAAAUCUUAUUAAAUUUGAUAAAAUCUAAUCACUAAAAUCAUCCAAUUGGAAAAAUUCUAAACUAAAGUAAGUGAAUGCCAAACAAAAAAAGGGGAAAAAAAAAAUUAAUGAGGCUCUUUUAGAAUGUCGUAUAGUUGAGGAGGUCCAAAUACAAAAGAGUAAAGUUCAAUUUCCCUUUGUGGAUUAGUGUGUUUCCACUUUGACACCAUGUGGAUCAAAAGUUAUUAUAUUUAACUAUCUACUAAUUUUAUUGGAUUAGUGUGUUUCCACUUUGACACCAUGUGGAUCAAAAGUUAUUAUAUUUAACUAUCUACUAAUUUUAUUUAUAUUUUACACUAAAAAUUUAGUGAUAAAUAGUGUAAUGAAAUGAUACAUUUUUACUGUGUUUGACUCGGGUAUAAAUGCGGGGAUAAGGGGGAUAUCUCCCCCUUUACACCUAAACACAUUUUGGGUUGGGUGGGAACACUUGUCCCCACCCAAACCGGGUUGUACAUUUAAAAUUAUAAUUUUAAAUUUUAAUUUCAAAUUUUAAAUUUUAAAAGUUAAAAUUUUUAAUUUUUAAUUUUUAAUUUAAAAUUAUAAGUUUAAAAUUUAAAAAUUUAAAUUCAAUUAUAGGGAUCAUAUCAUUAUUAUCCAUUUAUAACUAACAACUAUUCAUCUUAUUCCCAAUAACCAUCCAAACGCAAUUUUUCUAAUUCCAACUUAUACUUACAUUUAUAUCCAAAUAAAAAAAUACUUUUGUUCUUAUAAAAAUUCAUACUUAUAUCUAUUCCCGAUAUAACUAGUUCCUACUAAUUUCCGAGCUAAACGGAGCCACACUACAGCAUAGAGAAAAAUUAUUAAAUAGUGAAAUACUAUGUCCGUGGUUCCAUCUCUGGUCUGCACUUUGACUAUUUAUUUUUUAUUAUAAAUUCGUACUAUAAAAUAAAAAUAACAUUGUAGAGUAAUUAAAUAUAAUUUAUUAAUCACCUUAUAUAUAGAGUAAUUAAAUAUAAUUUAUUAAUCAUAGGGGGAUGAAGCCGAAGUUCGUGCUCAACCACACAGAGACAAAUUAAAUUAAGUUUACCCAAAAAGGAAAAGGAAAAAAAUGGUGACAAUUCCUGGCUAACUAUAUUAAAUAAACAGUACAUUGGGACAUUAAUUCCACAAAUAAUAUAUAGAUCAAAAGGCCCUCUCUGUUUGUUAUUAGUACGUUUAUUCCUUAAAAAUACUUUUGUUUUUUUCCCAUUAAUAUUCAUGGGGUAAACCUGAAUUAAUGCAGUGGGUAUAUACCCUUCAAGACUUCGGAUAUAUUUUAAUUUAUUUCUAUUUUUUUUGUUUUAUAUAUAUCCUUCAUACGUUCCUUCGUUAUUCAAAAAUGUCCCCGCAGUUAUCAUUCGUUAAGUUAUCUCAGAUUAAAAAUGAGUUAAAUAUCUAUCAUGGUUAAAAAAAAAAUAAAAUACUGUUUUUACGCUUAACUUAGGGCAAAUAAGAAAAAUUUAUAAUGGUAAGAGGGUAUAUUUGAAAAAAUAAAAAAAUAAAAUACUUCUUGUACUCCCAACUCAAGGAUAAAUAAGAAAAAUUAGUAAAAGUAGAAAAAUAUAUUUGAAAGAAUAAAAUAGUAAUUUUAUAAAGAUAACGGCUGUAGCGAAUAGUUUGCUAACAGAAUUUAACUCUAAAGUAUAUUUGAAAUAAUUUGAAAAAUUAAGAAAAUAUUUUUACUAUUAGUUUUCUAAGAGGGAUAAAUUAAAAAAUCGAAAAUUUUUGGAGAUUUUAUAAAUAAUUGCCCUUAUAUAUUUUUACCGUGGUUUAUUGUAAUUUCAAACGGAGCCUAUAAUAGUAGAUCUCACAUGAGAUAGGCAAUGACCAUGAUGUUGCUUUUGUUACGUGGCCAAGAUUACGAAGAACAAGGAUGAGAAGGAGAAGGAAUUUGAUAUUCCUAUGGAAUGUUUUGUAUUGCUAGAGCAAGAUAGAUCAAACUUGGGUUAGAUCAAACUUGGGUUAGAUACAGAGAAGUGAUAUUUUUGAGAUUUACAUCCCCCGCUUGAGAAUAAACCCAAUUAAAGUCCGAAAUUGAACUCCUAAUUGGUGUCUGAAAUGGAGUGUCUUUUUCUCUCUCUCUGUUUUUUUUUUUUUGUUUUUUGUUUUUACUUCCUCUCUUUAGGCAAAUUGCAUGUUUGGUCCUCAAACUACCAGUCAUUUUACAUUUUGGUCCUAGCUAAGACGUUAAUUUAUUGUAAUAUCUAACUUGAACUUUCAGAAUUGUUACAAUUACUACAAUCCUAUUUAGUUGACUAAAUAUUGAUAAUCGAAUUGCUAAAAUAAAAAUGAUAAAGCAAUAUUGUGAUUAAUUAAUGAUGCGUCUAUAAUUAAGAUGUUAUAUUACUUUGACAUCAGCGAUGAGUUAACAUUUAGUUAAUUAAAUGGUUUGUAGGAUAUUAUUACAACAAUGCUAAAAAUUCAAACCUUAAAUUACAAUAAAUUAAAAUUUAAGAAUUAAACUGUCACGAGACUCACAGUUUGAGAACUAAAUUUGCAAUUUAUCCUUUUAUCCUUUUUUUGAGUCAAAAGAGGAGCAACAUAUUGGCUAAAUUAGCUAGGUUUGAAUUUUUAGCAUUGUUGUAAUAAUAUCCUACANAAGAUGUUAUAUUACUUUGACAUCAGCGAUGAGUUAACAUUUAGUUAAUUAAAUGGUUUGUAGGAUAUUAUUACAACAAUGCUAAAAAUUCAAACUUUAAAUUACAACAAAUUAAAAUUUAA
rnacentral:lncRNA from 1 species